rnacentral:rRNA from 1 species
UACGUAGGGUGCAAGCGUUUUCCGGAAUUAUUGGGCGUAAAGAGCUCGUAGGCGGUUUGUCUCGUCUGCUGUGAAAACCCGAGGCUCAACCUCGGGCCUGCAGUGGGUACGGGCAGACUAGAGUGCGGUAGGGGAGAUUGGAAUUCCUGGUGUAGCGGUGGAAUGCGCAGAUAUCAGGAGGAACACCAAUGGCGAAGGCAGCUCGCUGGAACGGUACUGACGCUGAGGCGCGAAAGCGUGGGGAGCAAACAGG